GUGCUAGCUUCAGCAGCACAUAUACUAAAAUUGGAACAAUACAGAGAAGAUUAUCCCCUGCACAAGGAUGACAGGCACAUUCGUGAAGUUUUCCGUAUCUUG
ensembl:snRNA U6 U6 spliceosomal RNA